rnacentral:tRNA from 1 species
GAGAUAAAAGAAAUUAAGCUUCUAACUUAAAUUAAGUCUUAAAGGACUAUUAUCUUU